AUUGAACGCUAGCGGGAUGCUUAACACAUGCAAGUCGAACGAGUGGCGGACGGGUGAGUAAUAUAUCGGAACGUGCCCAGUAGAGGGGGCUAACUACUCGAAAGCGUGGCUAAUACCGCAUACUAUUGGAGCGGCCGAGAUGGGAUUAGCUAGUUGGUGGGGUAACGGCUCACCAAGGCAACGAUCCGUAGCUGGGCUGAGAGGACGACCAGCCACACUGGGACUGAGACACGGCCCAGACUCCUACGGGAGGCAGCAGUGGGGAAUUUUGGACAAUGGGCGCAACCCUGAUCCAGCCAUCCCGCGUGUAUGAGAAGGCCUUCGGGUUGUAAAGUACUGUUGGCAGAGAAGCGGUAUCUGCAGAAUAAGCACCGGCUAACUACGUGCCAGCCGCCGCGGUAAUAC
rnacentral:rRNA from 1 species